CUGUCUCAAAAAAAAAAAAAAAAAAAAAAAUUGUUCUUCCCUACAAGGCUCGGGGUGGAGGAGUAGUUCAUUUAAGGGCAGUGGUAUUAUACAAAUCUUAAACAAUAAGAAAAUUACUAGGUUUUCGGGGGCCUGAAAAGAAUCUAUAAGUUAUAAAAAAUAUAUCCAAAUCUUUAAAUGAUCUAAAUUCUUACAGUGUUGGGGAAGGUUCAAUAUGCAUAAUUUAGGAUAAGUCAUGUUUACAAAUCUUCUUUGCAAGCCCCUUCCUAUGUGUUAAGAGAUGGAGAAAUAUUAAGUUCAUUUAACCCUUUUCUUUAACCGUAAGAGAUGAGUGUUUCAUAUUCUGAAAUAUUUUACUGGCUGUGAUUUCAGAUGCAGCUGCUUUUAAAAGAGUGUCUUCUGAUUAUGAAAAGCUGGGUUUUGAGAAUAAGUACUAGAGUAGACUAUUUGGAAUCCAGGAGUUUUAUUUUACUACUUUACAUCUGCAUUGCAUCAGACAUGGCACAAGUUAGCAUUCCAUUUUUCAUGCUUUUAUAGCCCUGUUUUAGGUCUGUCUGUGCUCAAAAUUGGUUUAUAUUUUCACCAUAAUCUUUAUUCAUUUGCCUGCACAGCAUAUAGCUGAUAGAUUAUAUGCAAUGAAUUUUAAAUUCUACACCUAUUUCUUCUACUAUAGCCUCCUCCCAUCAUUUGCCAGCCCACAUGUGGGAGCAUGGAGUAAUUUUAAUAUUAACCAAAUAAAAAUUUAAUUCAGAAAGCAUAUCUGCCAAAAGUAUCAUGUGCAGAGCCUCACAAAGCCUAAUAUAAUAUACAUGUAUACAUGAUGGUUUCAGUUCCGUUACAUUUUUGGAUAGUGUCAAUAUUCCCCUCCACUGGCAUGAAUAAUUAGUGGGAAUAUCUGUAUUUUGAAAAUUCAAAAAUUUAUUCCCUGAAGAUACAGACUUGAGGAAAGAAAUUUAGCCUACUCAAAACACACCAGAAGGUUACCUUGAAAGCAGUUUACAUUAAUCUUAUUCAGAAUUAGAAAGUCGAUGCAGAAUCAGAGAGCUGAAAAAGAUGGCCUACAACAUUCUGAUUGUAUGGUUGGUAUUUGACUUUUUUGUUUUUUCUUCCAGAAGCAAUGCAUGUUCACUACAGAAAAUCAGACAACGCCAAAAGGCAACAAGAAGGAAAUAGAGAACACUUAAACGCAUCACCCAGAGAUAACCCAUGUGAAUGUAUUGGUGGAUAUCCUUAGACGUUCUUCUAUGUGACAGAAUAUAUCUGUUUAUCUUUAAGAAAAAAAUAGAUUGAUUCUAUUUUCUAAGUGAGCUCGGAAAUUUUCUUUUGACUUUUUUAUGAGCAUGUUAUUAUUUAAUAAAACCCGUCAUUGUGGAGACUUAGAAAACAUCCUUCCUUUACUUCUUCAGGAAUGAGAAAUUACACGUAGGCAAUUUAUUCAACAUUUUUCAUUAUGUCAGCAUGAUUAGAUGCCAAAUGGCUGUUUGGAAUAAUUUUUGAAGGUAUUUUUUUUGACACUUUGCCAGGGAAAUCAUAACUCUUAAAAUUCUCCAAUAACCCUAACCAUACAAUUGGAGUUAUGGAUAGAUAUUAUGUUCCAUGUUUUGUUGUUUUCUCACUGUUUCAGUAUCUGGGAUUAAUGCCAAAAGCUAUUCAACCUCACCCAUUUAUUAAAUGAGGGUGUCCAACUAAGUUUAUACAAUAGAGUUUAGAAAAAAAAGAAGACCUUGUUUGUUUAUCAUUCUAGUUAGGUGUUUUUACAUGAGCAAGAAAGAAAAGUAUUGUUUCUAAAAUUCCUUGAUGAACUUGCCUGGUUGAGAAGUAGAGUAUCAUGGAUAACAGAAUUAAUUACCUGACACUUGAGCCACAAGCAGACAUCCUUGCUUAUUCCAAACCGUCCUCCACACCGCUGCCAAAGUUGUUUGUUUUCUAAAAUUCAGAUCGAUUACUUUCCUCCUUAAAGCCCUGAAUAGCUCCUCUUUGCCCGCCCUACAGUCUUAAUUUAUGACUCUUUAGAAUGUGAAACAGGCUUUCUGUAAUCUGUCAACCCCACUCUUAAAUUCUUUACUCCAGUCAUAUUAAAGUACUUGGAAUUCUCUGUUAAUGUUAAUUUCAUACCCCUAUACAUUUUUUCCUGUUCUCCCCUCUUUUUGGAAUGUGCUAUCAAACCAUGUCAGGUCAAGCAUCGCUUCCUCUACAAAACCUUUGUUGACCUUCUCUGCUGCCCUACUUUCCCUACUUGGGGAAAAUAGACCCUUUAUGCUUCAUUGUUUAUGCAUACAUAUGAGUAAUUAUAUCUCACCAGCAGUAACACACUGUUGUACCUCUUGUUUUCACAUGUGCUUCUCCUUGUUAGACUAUAAACUCCAUUCACCAUCUUUGUGGAGCUGUCAUUUUUCAUUAGGAACAUCGUAAUAGCCUUUCUGCUAGUAACCCGCCCCCCUCCACUCUUACCUGCUUUUGAAGUGAUUCUCCCCAUCUCCAGAGUAAGUGAGCUUAUCAAACUAUGCUUCUCUGUGUGAAAGGUGUGGUGGUGGGAACUGGGUGAAAUUAGCUCCAGGACACCAUUAGCACUUGGUCUAAUUUAUUUACUACAGUAGGUAUCCACGUGCUGAGAGAUUCCCAAGAAGGAUGGGGAGUGGGGAAGGAGUAGGAGUAAGUGGAGAAAGUAGGGGCUGAGAAACUAGGUGAAGAAUCAGAAUCAGGUGUAGACAGCCAUAUGAGUCACAGAUCCGAAAAGGUCGAGUUAGCCAGAGUUCAACCAGGGCUGCCAGAACUUGUGUGGUUAGGGUGUGCCAGGCAGUGCCAUUAGGAGCUUCCAUGUAUUCAAGGGUUGGAGUGGUCAUGAAAUAAAAAAACGCUGUCCAGUGACCAAAAGUAGUUGCAAAAUUCUGAGUUUGGAGCCAAGAGGAACAUACACUGUGGGAGAUACAACGAGCAGCCUAAGUCAGAGUCUUGUCAAAAUCCAUUUCAUGAAAAGCUGAACUUUCAAAAUAGUGUAGUUAUAUUUGGUGCAUUGCAAUGCUAAAUAAUUUCCUCCUUGACCACUAUAUUAAAGGGUUGCUUUCAAACAGCUUCCCCGGUAAACAUGAUUCCAAGUGGUUUAAGUUCACAUUUCUGUCAACAGAAAUUUAACUUUUGUGGUUCUGAUGGGUGAGAAGUGAUAACUCAGGAUUACUUUGGUUUGGAUCUUUCUGAUUACUAUUCAGAUCAUGCAUUUUUUCAUGUUUACUGUUUAGAUUUUCUGAAAAUGUCUAUUCACACAUUCUUUAUUCAUUUUUCUGUGGAGUUUUUUUUUCUUUUUCCUGUAAAUUUUUGGUCACUCAUUUCAUACUGUAGAUAUUAACCUUUUUCUAAUACAUCCCAGAUAUUUCUUGAAGUCUACUAUAUAAUAAGAUUAUUCUUUUCUUUAUGGUAUCUUUGACAAUACACAUGUUUAAAAAAUUAUCUUUUCCUUUGCAAUUCCCUGGUUUGCUAUUUCAGUUGAGAAUGUUUUCCUAACCUGUAGUGUAUAAAUUCAUUCUCUUAAAUUUUAUUCUAACUUUUUUUUACAUUUUUGUUUUAAAUCCAUAUGGGAUUUAACUUUGGAUAUGCAUUAAAUAGGGGUCUAGUUUUUUUCCUCUAGAUGGCUAUGUUAAAAUCCCAUAUAUACUAAGAUGCAUUUUGGCACUCCCCAUUUUAAAGAUCUAUUUAUUUUUCUGAGUAAUACUAGCCAACACAUAUCAGUUCUGUUCCACAUGAACUUUAAAAUGCCUUUAUCAAAUUAAAAAGAAACCAUUGGAAUUAUGAUUAGAAUUACAUGAAAUUUAUAUAUGGAUUUUUGGAGAAUUGACAUGCUUUAUGUCUUUCAAUAAUGUUUUAUUUUCUUCAUGUGUCUUAAACCUGUCUUGUCAAAUUUAGCCUUAAGCAUUCUGUACUUUUAUCACUAUUACAGAAAGAAUAUAGUCAUAUGUCUCUUAGUGAUAGGGAUACGUUCCGAGAAAUGCAGCAUUAGGUGAUUUUGUCGUUGUGAAAAAUGUCAGCGUCGUUACACAAACCUAGGUGGGAUAGCCUACUAACACCUAGGCUGUCUGGUCUAGCCUAUUGUUCCUAGGUUACAAACCUGCAUGGUAUGUUACUGUAUGGAAUCCUGUAGGCCACUGUAAUACAGUGGUGUUUGCUUAUUUAAAUAUAUCUAAACAUGGAAAAGGAACAGUAAAAAUAAGGUGUUUCAUUAUAAUCUUAAGGGACCACCAUCAUAUGUGCAGUCCGUUGUUGACUGAAAUAUCAUCAUGUGGCAUAUGACUGUGUUUUUCCAUUCUCACUUCUUUUUGGUUACUACUGUAACCAUUCCUACAGAUGCAGUAAGGAUGGUAUGUGUAUUAGUCAGCUUUGUCUAAAUUACACUGCAAUAACAAGCAACCUGAAAAUCUCAGUGGCUUGUAACAACAAAAAAUUUCCUGCUCAUACUGCAUGCCCAUCCCAAGCUGGCUGCAGCUCUGCUUCACAUCACCCUCACUCUGGGGCCCAGGCUAAUGAAGCCAUUGCUGUCGGGCACAUUGCAGUCUUGUAGUAGAGAGGAGUCAAAGUAUAGCAUCUACUGGUUCUUUUUUUUUUUUUUUUUUUUUUUUUGAGACGGAGUCUCGCUCUGUCACCCAGGCUGGAGUGCAGUGGUGCAGUCUCGGCUCACUGCAAGCUCUGCCUCCCGGGUUCACGCCAUUCUCCUGCCUCAGCCUCUCCGAGUAGCUGGGACUACAGGCGCCCGCCACCACGCCUGGCCAAUUUUUUGUAUUUUUUAGUAGAGUCGGGGUUUCACCGUGGUCUCGAUCUCCUGACCUCGUGAUCCACCCGCCUCAGCCUCCCAAAGUGCUGGGAUUACAAGCGUGAGCCACCGCGCCCAGCCUGGUUCUUAAAGCUCCUGCCAGGAAGUGUCACACAUCACUUCCCCCACACUUUAUAAGCCAAAGCAAGAAGUGCCCAUAUCCGACACUGAAGCAUCCGGGAUGCAUAUGUUCUCCACAAGGAAGGGCCCUUCAAGUCACAAUGCCAAGCCCGACACCUAAGAAAUAACCAGUGAGAUAGGAUCAAUACUCUUAACUUGAAGGGCAGCAAAUAUUGUCAUCACUAAUACCAUGUAUCACAAUAUUUCAUUGUUAAGUUGGCGAGAUUGAGAAAUCCUAGAAAAUGAUACCUAUGCAAUAGACGUUUAUCUCCAUUCAACAAUAAUUGGUUUCUCUCUUACUUUCAAGUAUGCAAGAAGAUGACGCUUUUUCUUAUCUCUUAAAUAUAGCCAGCCAGGUGCAGUGGAUCACGCCUGUAAUCCCAAUACUUUGGGAGGCCAAGGCAGGUGGAUCACCUGAAGUCAGGAGUUUGAGACCAGCCUGGCCAACAUGGCAAAACCCUGUCUCUACUAAAAAAUACAAAACAAAAUUAGCCUGGCGUGGUGGCAGAUGCCUGUAAUCCUAGCUACUAGGGAGGUUGAGGCAUGAGAAUCGCUUGAACCCGGGAGGCGGAAGUUGCAGUGAACCAAGAUCUCGCCACUGCACUCCAGACUCUAUCUCCAAAAAAAAAAAAAAACGUAUAACCAUGUGACUAAUCCUGGCCAAUGAAAAUGUGAGUAGAAGUGGUGUGUGUGUUUCAUUCCUGCACAGAAGCAUUGAGAAGUUGAAGCAUGAUUCUCCAUAUCUUCCCUGCCAUAGUGAUAAUAGAAGUAUAUGCUGCGUAGAAGUACCAAAAGGGUAUAGUAGCUAGAAUGUCAUCAUAUAGAAGACAGUGGUUCUGGAUGUCAUCCAGAUAAAGAGUCUGUGAUUUUAAGUCACUGAGACUUAAGGGUUUUUCUGGUUUUACUUUUUUAUUACUGUAAUAUAACCUAGCCUAGCUUUAAUCAGGAUAGGCUAGGUUAUGGUGUAGUGGUAAUACAUAUUUAAAAUAUUUUAACAUAAAACAUAUGUGUGUGUGUAUAUAUAUAUAUUCAUUUAUCCAUAAUGCGAUGUAGGACAAGGUCCUUCUCUUAAGUAUGGGUCUACUGAUUUGGAGUACCAUGAUAUCUUUCUUGCAUAAACUACAUUGAUAAUGCAUCAUAUACAGUUAUCAGUUUGGAUUUCUCUAAUGUGGUUCAAUAACUUAAUAAGACUUGUAGAAAAAUGCAAAUACAAAAUCUUAAAAUUUUCUCCUCAUGCUUUACAAUUGUUAUGCCCAAACCAACAGCAUUUUUUUGCAACCUGUCCUUAUUGAAUCUUUCUAAAACAGACAACUGAGCUUCCAUGAAAACAAAAAUUCAUUCUUGUCACAUUAUUAUGUAUUGGCUUCAGUAGUAUUUGUUCAAGUUACUUGGUUUAUAAUAACAGUACAACUGUCAUAAAAAUGUUUAGGAGCAAGCACAACUAGAAAUUGGUAAACAAACAACUGAUCUGGUAAAAGUGGAGUACAUGGUUAUGUAAGAGAGUAGCUCACAAGGUGAGUGCAUUUUUUCUGCCAUAAGCAAUAGUCUGUAGGUUUCACAGAUGACAUUGAGAGCUUGUGUAAACCCCAAGAGUUAUUUAGAUAGAAGCAAACGAAGAGAACAUAUGGAGAAUAAUUACACACGUAUGUAUAUUCACAUAUUUAUGUAUCUUUGUGUAUUGUGUCCAGCCAUGUUACUCAAUUAAACAGAUAUGUUCUUUCUAAGCAUGUCUUAGAGCUUCUAAAUAUGUUGGCAUAUUAUCAGCAAAAAGAUAAUUUAAUCUCUUCUUUCCCAAAUUUAUAUUAUUUUCUUUCCUUAUCUUACUGUACUUGCUACAACCUCCAAAAUAAUGUUGAAUAAAUAAUGGUGAUAGUGAAUGUCCCAGUCUUUUUCCUGAUUUCAGUGUAAGUAUAUUUAGUGUUUCACUCUUUGGGAUGAUAUAUUAGUUUUUUGGUAAGGUCUUUAAUAUUUUAGGUGGUAACUUUCUGUGGCAGAGACUGGCUAGAUGCUCACCCAUACAUUUUCCUUUUCUCCUGAGAACACAGAUCAACUACAUUUUCCAGUCUUGCUUAUGGUUAUGUAGACCCAACCUAACUGAAUUUUGAUCAGAAGAAUGUGGGUGGAAAAGAAAGAUUAUGUUUCCAGUACUAACCCUGAGCCUCCCACACUCUCCACACUGCCUUCCUUUCUCUACCAGUCAGAUGCAGAAGACUUGGGACAUCUUUCUAGAAUAUGGAAGAACUACUGAUGGAAAGAGCCCAGGUCUUUGAAUGACGGUGGAGUCUCACUCUGUCACCCAGGCUGGAGAGCAGUGGUGCAAUCUCUGCUCACUGCAACCUCUGCCUCCCAUGCUCAGACGAUUCUAGUGCCUCAGCCUCCUGAGUAGCUGGGAUAAAAGUGUGUACCUCCACACCCGGCUAACUUUUUCAUUUUUAGUAGAGAUGGAUGUUUCACCUGUUGGCCAGACUGGUCUCGAACUCCUGACCUCAAAUGAUCCCCCUCUACCACCACCCCGCCCUUCCAAAAUGCUGAGAUUACAGGCAUGAGCCACUGUGCCUGAUCUAGAAUUAUACUUUAAAAAGUCAAAGUUUUUUAUUAUGUUUUUGUUAUUAAUUGCAUUAUGGUCAGAUAAUGUGGUCUAGAUGAUAGUGAUUCUUUGAUACAAUUAAGACUUGCUCUGUGAGCUAAUAUAUUGUCAAUUUUUAUAAUUGCUCCUGGGAACAGAAGGCAUAGCUCCCGUCACAUGAUACAGGACGCUAUAUAUGUUCAUUAGACCUGGCUUGUUUAUUGGAAUGGUCAUAUCACCCAUAUUUUUUUCUGAUAUUUUUGUUUUGUAAAUUUAUGACAAAGAUGUGAUUAAAAUCUACCUCAUCAUAGUGUAUUUGUCAAUUUUCUUUUCUUGUUCUGUCAUUUUUUGCUUAAUAUUUUUGAAACUUUGAUAUUAGAAAUAUGCAAAUUUAGAAUUGUUUACAUCUUACUAAUGAAUUGGACUUUCAUCAAUAUGUUAAUGCACCUCUGUCUCUAGUAAUACUUUUUGCUUUAUUUUUUCUUCAUCUGAUAAUAAUGUAACCACACAAACUUUCUUUUGGUUAAUAUUUAUUAAAUGUUUUUCCCUCUUUCUACUUUCAA